CCGCCCGCCAUUGCAAGCGCGCGAUUUGGCGCUCUGACGAUGCUCAUCGCAACCUCAAAAUAUUUUUAGGGUUCUUGAGAAGAAUGGAGGAAGAAGGCGAGGGUAUAGGCGCGCCGGUGACGCGCGCGGAGUUUAUGCUCCAGCAUCUCCUCGAUAGACAGCUCUCUACUUCUGCAAGAUUAGAGCAAGUGGAAUUCAAGGGAGCUACGCAAUCUUUCUAUCGAGGCAUUCACGGGGCUGGAGGAGUCUCGACUUUGGCAGAAUUUCGCUCGCAACAAGACGAGGGGGAGAUCCAAAAGCCUGAGGAAAAGUGCAAACGCCAGAGGUAUGGUCCAGACCCGGUGUUCUUGCAAAGCCAAGAGAUGGAACGAAAGAAGCAAACUCUUUCUCGAGAGAGCUCCAUAGCUGUGAAGCAAGAAAUGGGACGCCAUGAGAAGGAGCUGGAAGUUUCUUUGAUCGAAGGAAAGCAAAGAUUGCAAGCUAUAGCACAUCUUACUGUGGAAGGUGUUUCUCUCCGAAAACCUUUGCCUGAGCUCAGCGUCGUUUGCUGUGGCACUACGCCGGAGGAACGAGCACGAAUGCAAUCUGGGAAAGAGAUUUCGAGAUCGUCAUCGGAAGUGUUUUCAUCUUCAGCUCCACCACUGCUGGAUCUGGACACCUAUCUGGAUGAAGCCACUCAGGACGCUAAAAGUACCGGGAACGAGGAAAAGAAUCCCCCCAUGGUUUCUGAAGAGAAUAUCGCCUCGAACCGGCUUUCUUUCAAGGAGUUGCAGGAAUGGUCGGAUGGAAAGUUCCGAGACCACCAGCAAGGUGUGCCUUCAAACGUUCUCUACGUCAAGAAUCUGUGCUCGGAAGUCACAGAGGAGGAUCUAGCCGCAUUGUUUCUUCGAUUUAAGAAACAACCAGACGAUCAAAUUCUUUUCCGACUAAUGCAAAAAGGACGAAUGAAGGGUCAAGCCUUUGUUACAUUCCCAGACGUAGUGGCAGCAACCCGUGCAUUGCAACUUGUGCACGGAUACAUGCUUAAAGGAAGACCGAUGAUCGUAGAAUAUGCCCGAGGCAAAAAAUAACAAGCGCGGUUAAAGUCAAAAUGAUCAUCGCAGGUACAUUGCUUUCUCAACCUUUGCUCAUCCAGUGUGAUCUUUCUUUCCAGGAGCAUUACACUGCCUCAAGCCCGAGCUGGGAAUACAAGGGAAUUCCAUCAUGGAAGGCAUUGUGGUCGGAUCCACCAAUGAACCGCAGGUUUCACACCCAAUCCUUCCACCAACAGUGCCAACUCCGCUGGAAAGAUGAAAAGAAGUUCCUCUGGAGCACAAGUCAAUGAACUGCGGCAGCGUGGACAGCGUCCCAUGGAUCUCUGGCAAUGUAUCACUGUCACUGCCAUGCCGAGACCUGAGCCGACCAGCAACCUCGACAAGAUCAGCACGAGCACUGUUGGCGACCACAGCAUGAUCGCAGAACUCGCGGUGUAGAAAACCGCCGAAACGAUGGGAAUAGCUCGCCGGCCCUCCAGGCCUCGAGCUAAGGAGAGCUCCAACGAGUGAAGAAUGGGUGUUAGAACUGGCUCCACCGAAGACCAAGAACAAUGGUUUGUCGUUUCUAGAGCCAGCACGUUUUGUAUACACCAGAAGGUGGAGGAGUCUCAUGGAUCGCCAAACCUGUGCUCGAAUCCAAUCUGACACACAGCAAGCUGGUAGUCUCCUUUUGUGGACCCCCUGGAAACCUCACCAAUAUGGCUCCCCUACAUCAAGAAAAGCGAGGGGAUUUAGAAGGUGUGGUGGUGGGAGAGAUUGAGGAGUUUUUAACUCCAUUGAAAGAGUGGACUUGGUAGUGUUGAAAAUACCAGAUUUCCAGAUGGUGUUUGA